GUGGCAUUUUUGUGACUAAUAAAGAGGACACUAAACAAGCAACCAAACAAAAACACCCAAGCAACUCCAUAGCAACGUCCAAACAACACCUUAGCAAUGCCCUAGCAACCACCCAGAACAUCCUGGCUUCAAAAUAACGAUUUCUGCAAAGACAAACACCUGCAUUCACUUUAAAACACAUUUGUUUUGCUGAAUGCAGUCCAGCGUAACCUCUUCUCACAAUUCUCCUUAACACAUGCACACAAAGAGCUGGACUACACAGAGUCCUCAGACGUGUCAUUUCCAUUCCAGCAGCAGAUGAAUACCCAGCUCCAUCUCCAUUCGUCCACGCCGCUGCACAGUCGCAGGAACUUCAAUGUCAGCGUUUCUCGCCGCAAGGUGAAAAGAAAGGCUUCUCAGAAUGGGGACGUCAACACAUCCAGAGGGAUGUUAACACGUUCUGCAGAGCAGGCGCCUUGUAAGCACACUGUAAAGUCAGAUAAACAUCAGUCUUGUUGGCCAUUUCUCUAUUAUCGAAGGGUCUCUUAUGAACAUCUUAAAUUAGCACACACACCCGGACACCGCUCAAAUGACUGAAGAUGUGAUGUAAUGUCAUAUAAUUACAUGCCAAGACAGCUACGAGAACCCGUCGUGCUCACUCAGCUGGCUAGAGAUCUCACUGAGCUCUGGACAGUCUGUUAUCUGUUGCAUACUGGAAGAAAAAAAGGGCAAGUGCCGACAGAAAUUUCCAGCUAUGCAACCUGCAAGAGUCCAGGGUCUGAAAACGACAAGUUACGAAGCUAUUCCAACGACUGAGGAAACACAAAUAGAGUUUGUCAGACAGAGUUGAAAGAGGUUUCCACUGAAUCGAUCUGAACUUUUGCUGCAGUGUACUGAGACACAUGCAUCAGUCUCUGGUGUGAAAGAAUCUAUACAAUCAGAUGGCCUUCUCUUCCAAAAUACAGACAUCAGUCAAUGGAGCAGAUGGGUGAAUCACAUUGUGAUUAUUCAAACAACAGAUAACAACCACAGCCAAGAGAGAAUCGGAGCGCCGCCACCGACCAAAGCACUAGUGUGUGACAGAUCUCUGCCAUGAUCUUCAGGAUGUCCACCUUGCUGUUGGGCAUGAGCAUAUGUUACAGAGGUGGAUGCAAGAAGAGCUGGAGUUUACUGAUGGAGCAUGAGUCAGUGCACACUGCGCCUCCGUGAAUUUUGAUCACAUUCCCUUUUACAGACUGAACCCAGUAUCUUGUAUGAGCAGACCUGGUUUACACUUGUUAUUAUCAUGCUGAAGGAUGCACUUUCUAUUUCAAAUACAUGCAAUGACGUUCUAUUGUAAUCAGAGAUGCUUUGCUUAAUCUGAUUCUGUGUGACAAAGCAUGCUUUAGUUUCAAUAUUAGUUUCACUGUCCUGGAUUACUCUAUUUUCACUGAACAGACGUUUUUUAUUUAACUUAGUUUAGUCAUUAAGUGUAUGUCCGGGACCAGAAUUUAUCUCUACAGGUAACGAUCUGGUCACUGGUCACCUGGGAAUCAAAAGGAAAGCAUAAACGCUUUACAUUAAAAACAACUGCACAGCUGACUGGUAUUACAUUUCCUACAACGAUGAAUUUAUAGAUAGAAACCAAACUAAUUAAAAAGAAAACCAGGAAGAAGAGCAACGUGUUCAUGUUGUCUGUACGGAGCACACAUCUAGAGUUAAGUACCAUCACCAAAACAACUUUAAUACGAAAGCUAAAACUUUAAAAACAGGUAAAAAGCAUCUUAUGAAUGCCAUGAAUUCAAACUUGAAGGAUGAUACAUUUAUUUAAAAUCAAUGUAGAAUAAAUGUAUGCAUUUGUCUUCUAACCUCCAGGAAGACUAAGAACACUAAUGCACUUAGAAAUACAAAAAUGUCCAGUUAAAUUAGAACGUCUUUUCCACAUUAUGAACCGCAAAUAAAUGCCAAUAGCACGUCGCACACCAUUGAUUUGUCUUGCUGUGACAGAAACCAACGUCUAGAGACAUUUCAAGUAUUUAAUCAUCUGCCAUGCUUCAUAUCAUCGCUAUAAGUGCCUCUAAAG